GACGAACGCUGGCGGCGUGCUUAACACAUGCCAGUCGAACGGAAAGGCCCUGCUUUUGUGGGGUGCUCGAGUGGCGAACGGGUGAGUAACACGUGAGUAACCUGCCCUUGACUUUGGGAUAACUUCAGGAAACUGGGGCUAAUACCGGAUAGGAGCUCCUGCUGCAUGGUGGGGGUUGGAAAGUUUCGGCGGUUGGGGAUGGACUCGCGGCUUAUCAGCUUGUUGGUGGGGUAGUGGCUUACCAAGGCUUUGACGGGUAGCCGGCCUGAGAGGGUGACCGGCCACAUUGGGACUGAGAUACGGCCCAGACUCCUACGGGAGGCAGCAGUGGGGAAUAUUGCACAAUGGGCGGAAGCCUGAUGCAGCAACGCCGCGUGCGGGAUGACGGCCUUCGGGUUGUAAACCGCUUUCGCCUGUGACGAAGCGUGAGUGACGGUAAUGGGUAAAGAAGCACCGGCUAACUACAUG
rnacentral:rRNA from 1 species